AUUGAACGCUGGCGGCAUGCCUUACACAUGCAAGUCGAACGGCAGCACGGGAGCUUGCUCCUGGUGGCGAGUGGCGAACGGGUGAGUAAUGCAUCGGAACGUGCCCUGAAGUGGGGGAUAACGUAGCGAAAGUUACGCUAAUACCGCAUAUUCUGUGAGCAGGAAAGCAGGGGAUCUUCGGACCUUGCGCUUUUGGAGCGGCCGAUGUCGGAUUAGCUAGUUGGUGGGGUAAAGGCCCACCAAGGCGACGAUCCGUAGCGGGUCUGAGAGGAUGAUCCGCCACACUGGAACUGAGACACGGUCCAGACUCCUACGGGAGGCAGCAGUGGGGAAUUUUGGACAAUGGGCGCAAGCCUGAUCCAGCCAUGCCGCGUGAGUGAAGAAGGCCUCGGUGUAAGCUCUUCGGUGGGGUAAGAAAGUUAGCUUGGGUUAAUACCCUGAGUAGAUGACGGUACCCGCACUAAGAAGACACCGGCUAACUACGUAGCCAGCAGCCGCGGUA
rnacentral:rRNA from 1 species